UUCCUUUCAAUUUCUUCUUUCUCUUUCUUUUGUUCUUGUCUCUUUCUUUCUUCCUCUUCUUUUUUCUCUCUUUCUUCCUCUUCUUUUCUCUCUUGUUCUCUUCUCACUCUUUCUUCCUCUUCCUUUCUUUCUUGUUCUCUCUUUCUCUCUUUGUCUUUCUUCUUCUUCUUUUCUCUUUUUUCUUCUCUGUUGUCUCUCUGUUCUCUCUUGUAAUUGCCUAUGUUCUCUCUCAAAUUUUCUUCUACUUCCCUCACCCUCACUCAAAAACUUCAGGAGUUUGUCUCUAAACUCUAUUUCCCUUUGAUAAAAUCUACUUAAAUUUUGAAUGAAUACCUUGCCUCCUUUAAUAAACUCUCUCAUAAGUUGUAAAUUUCUUUGAAUCUCUAGAGGCACAAAUUUUUUUCUCAAACAACCUUACAAUUUAAACUCUUGUUCAAGCUAAUAAUCCCAACAAUUCAGCUCUGCACACAAAGACAUACCAAUUCCAGCAAAAUACACAGACACAGGGAUGUUAAACCAGAUGCAAAUGCAUGCAAAUCAAAACUGAACUAAACUGAUUUUAACACCCAUUACAGCUGAUUAAAACUCUGAUCAAUCCAAUGAAGGAAAAUGACGUGAUACCAUCAUACUUAGAUCAAACAAUCUGGACAAGAGUAUUAUGAUGCAUUUCAGAAAGUGGUAGUUAACACAAGUUGAUUCACAAAUCAGUUUAUGCACAGCUAACUAUGUGGCAUGCAAGGGUAUUCAAUCAAUCACUUUGAACC
rnacentral:lncRNA from 1 species